rnacentral:lncRNA from 1 species
GCUUCGGUAAUCCUCAUCAACUGUCGCUUCGGUAAUCCUCAUCAAUUGUCGCUUCGGUAAUCCUCAGCAACUGUCGCUCGGUAAUCCUCAUCAACUGUUGCUUUGGGUUCUUUGUCAAUCAACUAGUCGCGAUCCCAGCAGGAUCUUCUGAUUAAAAUACUGAGUCGACAAUGACUACUUAUCUUCAAACCUCACAGUCCAAAUCGGCUUGGGGUGAAGGUGUUCACAGAUAGGCCAUACCAAUUUUG